rnacentral:rRNA from 1 species
GACGAACGCUGGCGGCGUGCCUAAUACAUGCAAGUAGAACGCUGAAGGAGGAGCUUGCUUCUCUGGAUGAGUUGCGAACGGGUGAGUAACGCGUAGGUAACCUGCCUGGUAGCGGGGGAUAACUAUUGGAAACGAUAGCUAAUACCGCAUAAUAGUAGAUGUUGCAUGACAUUUGCUUAAAAGGUGCAAUUGCAUCACUACCAGAUGGACCUGCGUUGUAUUAGCUAGUUGGUGGGGUAACGGCUCACCAAGGCGACGAUACAUAGCCGACCUGAGAGGGGGAUCGGCCACACUGGGACUGAGACACGGCCCAGACUCCUACGGGAGGCAGCAGUAGGGAAUCUUCGGCAAUGGACGGAAGUCUGACCGAGCAACGCCGCGGGAGUGAAGAAGGUUUUCGGAUCGUAAAGCUCUGUUGUAAGAGAAGAACGAGUGUGAGAGUGGAAAGUUCACACUGUGACGGUAUCUUACCAGAAAGGGACGGCUAACUACGUG